UACGUAGGGGGCAAGCGUUAUCCGGAAUUACUGGGUGUAAAGGGAGCGUAGACGGUAGUGUAAGUCUGGAGUGAAAGGCGGGGGCCCAACCCCCGGACUGCUCUGGAAACUAUGUUACUAGAGUGCAGGAGAGGUAAGCGGAAUUCCUAGUGUAGCGGUGAAAUGCGUAGAUAUUAGGAGGAACACCAGUGGCGAAGGCGGCUUACUGGACUGUAACUGACGUUGAGGCUCGAAAGCGUGGGGAGCAAACAGG
rnacentral:rRNA from 1 species